UUCAGUACUGUAUGCUUGCAUACAGUGUGCACUUUGCCUUUAGUAAGACGUUGUGAUGCAUUAGGAAUGGAUACCUUUACUGGUAUCAAUGGGCUACCAAUAGGCCAGCGUGAAGUUUACGAUGGCAAAUGGCGGGAUCGUUGCGGUUCCGUGUAUUGCCUUGUAAGCGCGCUGUGUUCUGCUGUAGCUGCCUGAUGGAUUUUCAAGAUCAUAUCGUAAUGCUYCGGCAUUACCCGCUGCGGUGGGUUAGCUAUGUAUCCGAUCAACAACGGUUAAAUUUGGGAUACCUUUGGGACCCGUCUUGAAACACGGACCAAGGAGUCUAUCUAGUGUGCAAGUAAAUGGGUGCAUUUGAAACCUAUUUGCGUAAAAAACUUGACUGUAAUGGGAUUACGAGCUGCAGCCAUGUGUUGCGUUCCUCCAUCCCGGGGUAUUUUCAUAACAUAUACUGCCCUCGGGUGGCCAUAUAGAAAAUAUACCAUGAGCAUACUGGAUAUGACCCGAAAGAUGGUGAACUAUGCCUGAUCAGGUUGAAGUCAGGGGAAACCCUGAUGGAGGACCGAAGCAAUUCUGACGUGCAAAUCG
rnacentral:rRNA from 1 species